rnacentral:misc_RNA from 1 species
GCAACUUCCACGCAAACAACUCCAUUAGAGUAUAUAUACAUAUUUUAAAACUCAAAUUAUCAACUAAUCGAUCAUGAAAGUAGGUUUUGUGGCAGUGGCAGUUCCCUCUGUUUGUGCAACGUUGCAGCAGGGGAAAAUCAGAAGCAGAGGGUUUCAAUUAUUCAAGAGAAAUAUACGAGUGUUGACUCCAUUCCAUGAAUAUGAAACAAAAUACUAUAAUCCCAUUAAGGCUCAUCAACAGAGUUACGAUUCACAAAUCACCAUUUUAGCUGACAUGCCCCUCUUUGAAUCCCCCCAUGCAUCUUUCGAUAGGUACAUGGAGGACAAACCAAGAGUUUUCAAAGCUAUUUCCCCUGAUAACAGAGGAACCCAACGUAUAAACGAGGAAGAAUGGAGAAUUCGAAUGGAACCAAUAGGUUUCUUGUUCCUCACAGCGUGGCCAGUUGUUAACAUGAGACUUAGAUGCAAAACUAACGGAAAAGAAUACCCUCCUGGCGUUCCAAACCAUACUUCUAUGGUUCUUGAGUUCAAAAUUACAAAAUGGGAUCUAGAAGGAGUAACAGAGGGAAAAAACAAGCCAUCAGAAUUCCGUCUUAGCAUGGAAGGUGUACUUUACCCAGAUAGAAGAAUUAGCAGGAUCAAAGGUCGUUUACACAUGAGCAUUAGCUUCGCUCCACCUCCCAUGCUUGCGUUGGUCCCUCCACAUGUUCACAAAGAUGUCACGCAAGCGGUCAUGAAGAAUAUGGCGGAGAGUAUGCAACAUAAAGUAAGAAAUAAUUUGCUCGCUGAUUAUGCUAAAUUCAAGAAGGAAAAUCCCCAGCCAUAACUGUAAGAGUAACUUCCCAAUUAAGCAAAAACCAGAACAACUCUUCUUUUUCUUUUUCCAUACUGGAAAACAAAGUGUGAAUUUUGUUUGUGUGUAAUUGCGUGGGCUUUAGUAUUUGUUCAACUAAUGAAAAUCAGGGCAGAUACUCCUUCG